CAGCCGCCGCGGUAAUACGGAGGGUGCAAGCGUUAUCCGGAUUUAUUGGGUUUAAAGGGUCCGUAGGCGGACUUAUAAGUCAGUGGUGAAAGCCUGUCGCUUAACGAUAGAACUGCCAUUGAUACUGUAAGUCUUGAGUAUAUUUGAGGUAGCUGGAAUAAGUAGUGUAGCGGUGAAAUGCAUAGAUAUUACUUAGAACACCAAUUGCGAAGGCAGGUUACCAAGAUAUAACUGACGCUGAGGGACGAAAGCGUGGGUAGCGAACAGGAUUAGAUACCCGCGUAGUCCCUGUCUCUUAUAA
rnacentral:rRNA from 1 species